UACAGAGGGUGCGAGCGUUGUCCGGAAUCACUGGGCGUAAAGGGCGCGUAGGCGGUUUGACAAGUCUGAUGUGAAAUCUAUGGGCUCAACCCAUAGCCUGCAUUAGAAACUGUCGGGCUUGAGUAUGGGAGAGGUGAGUGGAAUUUCCGGUGUAGCGGUGAAAUGCGUAGAUAUCGGAAGGAACACCUGUGGCGAAAGCGGCUCACUGGACCAUAACUGACGCUGAGGCGCGAAAGCUAGGGGAGCAAACAGG
rnacentral:rRNA from 1 species